UUGUGCCUACGGGGGGCAGCAGUGGGGAAUAUUGCACAAUGGGCGCAAGCCUGAUGCAGCGACGCCGCGUGGGUGAAGAAGCGCCUCGGCGCGUAAAGCCCUGUCAGCAGGGAAGAAAAUGACGGUACCUGAAGAAGAAGCCCCGGCUAACUACGUGCCAGCAGCCGCGGUAAUACGUAGGGGGCAAGCGUUAUCCGGAUUUACUGGGCGUAAAGGGGGCGCAGACGGCGAUGCAAGCCAGGAGUGAAAGCCCGGGGCCCAACCCCGGGACUGCUCUUGGAACUGCGUGGCUGGAGUGCAGGAGG
rnacentral:rRNA from 1 species